rnacentral:rRNA from 1 species
GAUGAACGCUAGCUACAGGCUUAACACAUGCAAGUCGAGGGGAAACGACAUCGAAAGCUUGCUUUUGAUGGGCGUCGACCGGCGCACGGGUGAGUAACGCGUAUCCAACCUGCCCAUCACUUGGGAAUAACCUUGCGAAAGUAAGACUAAUACCCAAUGACAUCCCACGAAGACAUCUGAAUGGGAUUAAAGAUUUAUCGGUGAUGGAUGGGGAUGCGUCUGAUUAGCUUGUUGGCGGGGUAACGGCCCACCAAGGCAACGAUCAGUAGGGGUUCUGAGAGGAAGGUCCCCCACAUUGGAACUGAGACACGGUCCAAACUCCUACGGGAGGCAGCAGUGAGGAAUAUUGGUCAAUGGGCGAGAGCCUGAACCAGCCAAGUAGCGUGCAGGAUGACGGCCCUAUGGGUUGUAAACUGCUUUUAUAAGGGAAUAAAGUGGGUCUCGUGAGACUUUUUGCAUGUACCUUAUGAAUAAGGACCGGCUAAUUCUGUG